rnacentral:piRNA from 1 species
UUCACGCGUGGUACCAGAGAGAUUGAAAA